rfam:Spiribacter curvatus strain TAH-SP71, complete genome.
GAAGUCGGCCGGGCAAUCGCGGCGCCAGAUGGCGUCGAGGAAAGUCCGGGCUCCAUAGGGCAGGGUGCCAGGUAACGCCUGGGCGGCGCGAGCCGACGGAAAGUGCCGCAGAGAGUAGACCGCCGAUGGCCGUGCAUGCACGGCACAGGUAAGGGUGAAAAGGUGCGGUAAGAGCGCACCGCGCGCUUGGCAACAUGUCGCGGCAAGGUAAACCCCACCCGGAGCAAGACCGAAUAGGGGAGUGCAAGCACGGCCCGUGCGAACUCCCGGGUAGGUCGCUUGAGUUGCGCGGUGACGCGCAUCCGAGAUGAAUGAUUGCCCUCGACAGAACCCGGCUUACAGGCCGGCUUCCACC